rnacentral:rRNA from 1 species
AUUAUGGCUCAGGAUGAACGCUAGCUACAGGCUUAACACAUGCAAGUCGAGGGGUAACAGGAGAGAAGCUUGCUUUCUUGCUGACGACCGGCGCACGGGUGAGUAACGCGUAUCCAACCUUCCCCUUAGUAGCGGAUAGCCCGGCGAAAGUCGGAUUAAUACGCUAUGUUCUUCGUUGAUGGCAUCUGAUGUGAAGCAAAGAUUUAUCGCUAAGGGAUGGGGAUGCGUCUGAUUAGGUAGUCGGCGGGGUAACGGCCCACCGAGCCAUCGAUCAGUAGGGGUUCUGAGAGGAAGGUCCCCCACACUGGUACUGAGACACGGACCAGACUCCUACGGGAGGCAGCAGUGAGGAAUAUUGGUCAAUGGGCGCGAGCCUGAACCAGCCAAGUAGCGUGCAGGAAUGACUGCCCUAUGGGUUGUAAACUGCUUUUAUCAGGGAAUAAAGUGAGGCACGUGUGCCUUUUUGUAUGUACCUGAUGAAUAAGGACCGGCUAAUUCCGUGCCAGCCGCCGC